ensembl:lncRNA
UAAGUACCACCAGAAGGGCAAAGCGUUGCUGCCACAACAGACCUGUGGUCCUUCCCUCCCAGAGCUUCCUCCUGCAGCGACGUGAGCGCUUCUGCUUCACUUGCCUGGGCUGCGGGCGUGUGCGGUAACCUGAAAUAGCUUCCCUUGCAUCAUUGUUACUUCAGGCAUGCUAGAAUGCAUGUGGUGCUAUUGCUAGAGACGUGUUUGUCUCUAUUCAAUUUCAAGAUUUCAAGAACAGGGGUUUUUGGUUGAUGGCAACAGAAGUAAAUAGGAUGCUCGCGUGAAUGGUCAGUUUUCUGCAAAGUGUUCUCCUCAGCGAUCCCUCCACCACUCACCACCCACAUUUAAAAUCAUAGAAUCAUAGAAUGGCCUGGGUUGAAAAGGGCCACAAUGAUCAUUGAGUUUCAACCCCCCCUGCUAUGUGCAGGGUCGCCAACCACCAGACCAGGCUGCCCAGAGCCACAUCCAGCCUGGCCUUGAAUGCCUCCAGGGAUGGGGCAUCCACAGCCUCCUUGGGCAACCUGUUCCAGUGUGUCACCACCCUCUGUGUGAAAAACUUCCUCCUAAUAUCCAACCUAAACCUCCCCUGUCUCAGUUUAAAACCAUUCCCCCUUGUCCUAUCACUAUCUACCCUCAAAAACAGCCGUUCCCCCUCCUGUUUAUACGCUCCCUUCAAGUACUAGAAGGCCGCAAUGAGGUCUCCCCGGAGCCUUCUCUUCUCCAAGCUAAACAAGCCCAGUUCCCUCAACCUUUCCUCAUAGGAGAGGUGCCCCAGCCCUCUGAUGGGAUGAGAACAGACUUGUUUGUGUUUCUGUCUAGAUGGUCUGUGUGUAACCCAGCUGUAAACUCAAUUCUUUUGCUCCUCGCUACCUCAUCUCCAGUACCUUCUCCAAAUCACGGGAGCAACAGAGCUUUUCAGUGAAACAGUCACAACAUUUUUUUGUAUCAGUAUCAAAAAAGAAGACACCAGCUUUGGUUUUCCUUCAUACAGUUAGCCAAGUCUUGCUGAAGUCCUUUACCCUCGAGAUAGAAAUUGUGCUAAGGCUGACGCACCCAUUAGAGGAAAAAUUGUUAAUUUUUUGCAAAAUUCUGAGAAGCUAAUGAGUUUAUAUUAUGGGAAAAAAGCAGAUAAUCUCUAUUAUAGCCACUGCUGCUCAUAGCAGCUGUAACACUGAAUAGCAUCCAUGUCCUGUCCUGUAGUUAUUUUUCAUGCGGAGUGAAUACUAUUGUUGGCAGCCUUUUACUUUCCCCUACAAACCUUCUUCGAAAAUCAGACCUGUGAGGAGACAAGGCGGCCUGGUUGGCUUGGGGAGCAUUUGCAGAAAUAAAUUAAUCUGUUCACUAAAAUAAAAGUCCCUUAAGUCCCAAUUACAGAAAGCUGCUUAAGUGUGCAGCACAACUUCAUGAAUCUUUGGUGCUGAAGGCAAUUAAGUGCGUGAGCGUAGACAGCUGUUUCCGUCAGUGGCUGAGAACAGCACAUCCAUCAGAACAGAGCCGUCUCUGCAUUUGCACAGCCGAAGAGAUGUGGGGAUACUGGCGGAGGCCGGGUGGUGCUGUGCUUGGUGUGCCGUUUCCUUUGCGCCAUCCUAUCCUGGGAAAGAGAGGGUGCUGAUAGAGCACGGUAAGAUGAUGAAUUUUGAAUGAUGCUCUCGGUAAGGCACGGAGCCAUGAUGAUCCAGCCAUGCUGCUGGAGCUGUUGCAGCCUCCUUCAGGCUGGUGUCUCUUUUGCUGCCCAAAAUAGUGAAUCCAGCAGGUCGUGGGGAUCCAGAUCUCUGUGUGGGACAGACCCGUUCUUCAUUCAGCUUGUUUAAAUGGCAGGAGAAAAUCUGCCUCAGUGAGGACCAGGAUAACCCUCUAUAGGUUGUACCUGAUGGUCCUCACUCAUUAAAAACGUGAAUUUCUGCAUGGAAUCAGCCAUGUAGGCUGCUUUAAGAGUUCCAACUUCAGCUGCUGGGAAAGUAAUUCUUUUAUUUUUAGGAGGUUAAGGAGCAUCAUUUUUCUGCUAACCUUUUCUCUUUUGAAUUCUUUUCUACAGAUGCCUUCCAGAAAUCUUUGGAUGUUUGAUAUGUUACUAUAGAUAUAUAGUAAAACUGUGACAGUUUUCUUAUUGCUCAAAACCUGCGGUUUCCUGCAGAGACCUUUUCUUUGCUGCAGCCGCAUUGCCAAGUUGUCAGAGCAUUAAUUAAACCAGAAGAAUAAGGCGUUGCGUGUCAUUUCCUACACUGGAUGCCUCCGUGUCAGGGACACAUCUCCAUGGCAAGAACCUGUACAUACACACAGAAUAAGCCUGGCAACAGUACAAAAGCUCACACAGGCUUCUGAGUGAAAAAUGUGGCAGCGGAAAAUAUGGAAUUUAAAGCAAGUUGGUGCUAAGACAUCAGAGACGGUGACUGAGGCUGUACGUGGAGCUGGGCAGGGAGGAGGACGUAUGCCAGGGCUUGGCAGCUGCCUGAAGGCCGCAGGGAGGCACUCUCACACCCAGAGGGUCACAACCUUGUACAAGUUGGGGUUGGAAAAGCCCAUUAAGAUCGUCUAGUCCAACCAUCACCCACCAAGCCCUCUAAUCCACAUUUCUGAGGGUGAUAUGUUAACCCAUGUUCCUUUUCUUGAGCACCUCCAGGGACGGUGACUCCACCACCUCCCUGGGCAGCCUGUCCCAGUGCCCCACCAUUCUUUCUGAGAAGAAAUCUUCCCUAAUAUUCAACCUGAUACAGAAGAUGCUGUGUUUCUUCAGUCUGUUCCAGGCGUAGAUGGUGCCCAUGGUCGUGGUGGCCUGGAGAGCUGGCAGUACAAUGAUGGUGGCAAGGUUGAGGGCAUGGAUGAUGAUUUGCCCAACAGAAGCCUGGUAGCCAUGGUUUGGGUUUGGAGCAAGGAGGAAGUGUCUAAAAGUGGAAGCAGGGAUAACCACUUGAUUGUGCAAGACACGGAGCUGGUGGAAAGCACCCGAAGGAUGCUGUGGUCCGAAGAGUUGUCCCAGGCAAGGAGCAGCACUGAGCCCUCUCCCAUAG